GACCUGAUGGUGCAAUGGUCAGCACGUCUGCUUGAAAUAUUUCGUGAGGAUGAAUGUAGGCAGAAGAUCCUCGUUCGAUUCGGGGUUUGGUCG